GGCUGCCGGAGAUGGAAUCAAUGGCGUCGGCGAUCGGAGUAUCAGUGCCGGUGCUCCGUUUCCUGCUUUGUUUCGUCGCCACCAUUCCGGUGAGCUUCCUCCACCGUUUUGUCCCUAGCGCCGUUGGUAGACACCUCUACGCCGCCGUUACCGGCGCUGUUCUCUCGUACCUGUCAUUUGGUUUCUCCUCAAAUCUUCACUUCUUUGGGCCUAUGCUUCUGGGUUAUGUUUCUAUGGUUGUCUCUCGCCGUUACUGCGGGAUUGCUUUGUUUUGUCGCCACAAUUCCGGUGAGCUUCCUCCACCGUUUUGUCCCUAGCGCCGUCGGUAGACACCUCUACGCCGCCGUUACCGGCGCUGUUCUCUCGUACCUGUCAUUUGGUUUCUCCUCAAAUCUUCACUUCUUUGGGCCUAUGCUUCUGGGUUAUGUUUCUAUGGUUGUCUCUCGCCGUUACUGCGGGAUCAUCACUUUCUUCGCCGCGUUUGGAUACCUUAUUGGAUGGUACAUUACAUUCCCAAUCAUAAAGCUCUUUCUUUUUACUCCCUUCGUUC
rnacentral:lncRNA from 1 species